GAAAGAAUAGACCGGGACGGGCUGUCCACCACGGGCAAACCGCUCACGGGAGGCGACGACAAAGAAAGCGCUCUCGCGCUCAGCCCAGCGGGACCGGCCCUGCCCGCCGGCCGUGCGCCCUCCCCGCGUCGGGAGCCGGGAUCCCUGAGCCGUCAGGGACACCACUCGAGCGGAGACGGCCGUGAGGCGGAAAGGGGGGCGCGCACCCCGAUGGGAGCGGACAGGAGGCAGGCCCCCCACUCCAUGGCCCCGCGGCCCCGGACAGCCGUUACCCGACUUCCGCCCGCGUCCUCCCGGUGGCCGACUUCCGGUGCGCUGCGUGACGUCAUUGCGGCCGGCUUCCGGCGCGCUGACUUGUGCUCGGCGCUGUCAUGUGUCGCUGGCGACAGGAGGCUGUCGGGCGGCCUGGGCAUCCGAGGCCAUCGCGGGUACCCGGCGGCGCUCGCUCCCUGCUAAGGCCAGGGGAGGAUCGGCCGUGGGGGCAGCGCCGCGGGGAUGGAGUCGCGGCCGGGGGCGGCGUCCCGGCGGCGGCUGACCGCGUGUCCUCCUCGCGGCGCUGCCUCGGGGAAGUGACGCCGCUCACGCCGCUGCUCCCCGGCCGACGGCGCCCGCCACCCCGCUUUCACCGGAAGCCCUUGCGGAAUCCGCCGAGUGUGCCCGGGGGUCUCGGCCCGCCGUUCCGGAGACUGAUCGCAGCUGGGGAGUACUUGCCGGGAAGACUGGCAGGAGGGCAGCUCUGGGUGCUCAGGAGACACACCUUUGGCAAGUGGCUACUGUUGGAGACCAUGCAGCUCACAGAACGUUCACAUCUACAGAAGUUAUUGUGGAUUUGGGGGUGUUUGCUGUGUUCACGCUCGCUGCAGAUUUUAUUUUAUUGUCCUUAAAAACCUUGCAAAAGUUGGAAAUGAAGUUUAGGGGGAGUGGUAAAGGGGGAGCCUCGGGGAAUCAUGAGUGGAAAACAGUGCCAGACGAGCCCGGUGGGAUGGAUGGAUGGAUGGAUGGAUGGAUGGGAUAUCACAAGUUGUAGGAAAAAAAUGGUGAAAUUCUGCAGUGGGGCUGCUGGAGGGUGAAGCCAGCGUGUGCUCAUCUUAAAGGAGGGCAUUCCUGUUGGUCUUUGUUCUUCCCCCAGUUCAAAUCCUUGGGGACCCCUGAGAGGUGGUCUUGGGUCCGAUAUGGAACAGGGGCCCACGUCCAGGGUUGCCCAGCCAGAAACUGGCAGAUCGCGAUUGCACACCAGGUCUCUCCCACCCUACUUACUGUCUGCCCUUUUCCAGAUGCCAGACCCAGAGGGAGGAGUGGAAUCUGGAAGCAGGUUGAGGCUUUCAGCAGACUUGGGAUCUGCCUCUUCAGUCCACGUGCGGACGCUGACCACACCGGCCUCGAGGACACACUCAGUCUCAUGUUUCUGCAGUCCUGUGAGCAAGGCGUUGACUGAACUCUGGCCCAUCUUCAGAUGUUCGAAUAGCAGCCAGCCUUGGGACAUAGAAGGGAGUGCCUCCCUCUGGGGCAGAGAGCAGCAUGCUUGAAACUGGCGGGCCACCUUGUCACCCUGCCCAGCACAUGACAGUACUGUCCGCAGUCCCCCAGUGUGUCAGCCACCGCAAUCCCAAGAUGCAAGAGCCCUGAGAGAUGGCCUCGUCGGUGGCUGCCAAGCUGUUCCUGGAAUCUGCAGUGGUUUGGAUGCCGCUGCGCUGUCUGCUUCCAAAACAAGGCUCGUCGCUGUCAUUGUGACCCCGGCCCCUCUGACAGCUCCUGUGUGGGAAGAUGGGGAUAGUUAAUAAAAUCUUUUCAGUGUG